UACGUAGGGUGCAAGCGUUGUCCGGAUUUAUUGGGUUUAAAGGGUGCGUAGGCGGCCCUGUAAGUCAGUGGUGAAAGCCUCCAGCUCAACUGGAGAACUGCCAUUGAUACUGCAGGGCUUGAGUACAGACGAGGUUGGCGGAAUUGAUUGUGUAGCGGUGAAAUGCAUAGAUACAAUCAAGAACUCCGAUUGCGUAGGCAGCUAACUAGGCUGUAACUGACGCUGAGGCACGAAAGCGUGGGGAGCGAACAGG
rnacentral:rRNA from 1 species